GGAGAGGUCGCCUAGUGGUCGAUGGCGCGCGCUUGGAAAGCGCGUAUACCGCAAGGUAUCUAGGGUUCGAAUCCCUAUCUCUCCGCCA
rnacentral:tRNA from 1 species